rnacentral:rRNA from 1 species
GAGUUUGAUCCUGGCUCAGGAUGAACGCUGGCGGCGUGCUUAACACAUGCAAGUCGAGCGAUGAAGUUUCCUUCGGGAAACGGAUUAGCGGCGGACGGGUGAGUAACACGUGGGUAACCUGCCUCAUAGAGUGGAAUAGCCUUCCGAAAGGAAGAUUAAUACCGCAUAACGUUGAAAGAUGGCAUCAUCAUUCAACCAAAGGAGCAAUCCGCUAUGAGAUGGACCCGCGGCGCAUUAGCUAGUUGGUGGGGUAACGGCCUACCAAGGCGACGAUGCGUAGCCGACCUGAGAGGGUGAUCGGCCACAUUGGGACUGAGACACGGCCCAGACUCCUACGGGAGGCAGCAGUGGGGAAUAUUGCACAAUGGGGGAAACCCUGAUGCAGCAACGCCGCGUGAGUGAUGAAGGUUUUCGGAUCGUAAAGCUCUGUCUUUGGGGAAGAUAAUGACGGUACCCAAGGAGGAAGCCACGGCUAACUACGUGCCAGCAGCCGCGGUAAUACGUAGGUGGCGAGCGUUAUCCGGAUUUACUGGGCGUAAAGGGAGCGUAGGCGGAUGAUUAAGUGGGAUGUGAAAUACCCGGGCUCAACUUGGGUGCUGCAUUCCAAACUGGUUAUCUAGAGUGCAGGAGAGGAAAGUGGAAUUCCUAGUGUAGCGGUGAAAUGCGUAGA